rnacentral:rRNA from 1 species
UCACUAAGAGAUGGUCCCGCGGUGCAUUAGCUAGUUGGUAAGGUAAUGGCUUACCAAGGCGAUGAUGCAUAGCCGAGUUGAGAGACUGAUCGGCCACAAUGGGACUGAGACACGGCCCAUACUCCUACGGGAGGCAGCAGUAGGGAAUCUUCCACAAUGGGCGAAAGCCUGAUGGAGCAACGCCGCGUGUGUGAUGAAGGGUUUCGGCUCGUAAAACACUGUUGUAAGAGAAGAAUGACAUUGAGAGUAACUGUUCAAUGUGUGACGGUAUCUUACCAGAAAGGAACGGCUAAAUACGUG